GAGAGAGAGAGCGAGAGAGAGAUAUUGGUAAUGGUGUUUGAGAUGGGGUUUAAGGGAGGUCUACCAACUGGUAGUUAGAGAUUGAACUCCUUAACCAAACACAAUCUCAAAUAGCCAAAGAACCCAAGAACUGUAACAACAAGAAGAACCACAAGAAGCAAUAACCACAACAAACUAGAAGAACAAGAAGGAAGUCAAGCACCAACCACUACCUCAACUGGGGUUUCAAGCAAAGGCCCAAAAGCCAAACCUCCAGAAAGAGGAAGCUAUUUCAAAAAGGCACACAAAGAAAGCUAGAAAGAGAAAGUUAUCAUUUCUUUUGAGUCUUUUCUGAGAGAGAGAGAAACAAGUUUAACUAUGUAUGUGUGUGUGUGUGUGUGUGAUAGAGAGAGAGAGAUGCUCACGUGG
rnacentral:misc_RNA from 1 species